AGCAGCCGCGGUAAUUCCAGCUCCAAUAGCGUAUAUUAAAGUUGUUGCAGUUAAAAAGCUCGUAGUUGAAUUUCGGGAUUGGCGCAUCGGUCGUGCCUCACGGGGUAUGAACUGGUGCAGUCAAUUUCUCACCUUCUGGAGAACCGCGAUGUCCUUAAUUGGGUGCCGCGGGGAACCAGGACCUUUACUUUGAAAAAUUAGAGUGUUUAAAGCAGGCAUUUUUGCUUGAAUACAUUAGCAUGGAAUAAUAAAAUAGGACGGCAUGGUUCUAUUUUGUUGGUUUCUAGGACCACCGUAAUGAUUAAUAGGGAUAGUUGGGGGCAUUAGUAUUCAAUUGUCAGAGGUGAAAUUCUUGGAUUUAUGAAGACUAACUACUGACGAAAGCAUUUGCCAAGGAUGUUUUCAUUAAUCAAGAACGAAAGUUAGGGGAUCGAAGACGAUCAGAUACCGUCGUAGUCUUAACCAUAAACUAUAGCCGACUAGGAAUCAGACGAUGUUAAUUUUUAAUGUACUCGUUGCU
rnacentral:rRNA from 1 species